GCCAGGUACACACCUGGAUUCCCAGCUACUUGGGAGUCUGAGGCCAGAGGAUCACUGGAGCCCAGGAGUUCUGGGCUGUAGUGCGCUAUGCUGGUCAGAUGUCUGCACUAAGUUCAGAAUCAAUAUAGGGACCUUCCAAGAGCAGGGGAAUACCAGAUUGCCUAAGGGGAGUGAAUCAGUCAGGUCAGCAAUGAAGCAGGUCAAAACUCUCAUGCUGAUUAGUAAUGGGAUCCUGUCUGUGAAUGACUAUUGCACUCCACCCUGGGCAACAGAACAAGACCCUGUUUCCU
rnacentral:SRP_RNA from 1 species